AAUACGCCCGAUCUCGUCCGAUCUCGGAAGCUAAGCAGGGUCGUGCCUGGUCAGUACUUGGAUGGGAGACCGCCUGGGAAUACCAGGUGCUGUAAGCUU
rnacentral:rRNA from 1 species